CGGAGAGGGAGCAUGAGAGGGCGUACGGCCACACUGGGACUGAGACACGGCCCAGACUCCUACGGGAGGCAGCAGUAGGGAAUCUUCCGCAAUGGGCGAAAGCCUGACGGAGCGACGCCACGUGGAUGACGAAGGCCUUCGGGUCGUAAAAUCCUGUCAGGGGGGACGAUGGUCGAUCUUCGGAUUGACUGACGGUACCCUCAGAGGAAGCUCCGGCCAACUACGUGCCAGCAGCCGCGGUAAUACGUAGGGAGCAAGCGUUGUUCGGAUUUACUGGGCGUAAAGAGUGCGUAGGCGGUUAUAUAAGUCAAAGGUGAAAUCUCCACUUUCAAGGUGGAAACUGCCUUCGAUACUGUAUAACUAGAGGGCAAGAGGGGGAAAUGGAACUCUGGGAGUAGCGGUGAAAUGCGUAGAUAUCCAGAGGAACGCCGGUAGCGAAGGCGAUUUCCUGGCUUGCAUCUGACGCUGAGGCACUAAAGCUAGGGUAGCGAUCGGGAUUAGAGACCCCGGUAGUCCUAGCCCUAAACGAUGGGUACUAAGUGUGGGGGGAGCAUUACCCUCCGUGCUGAAGUUAACACGUUAAGUACCCCGCCUGGGGAGUACGGUCGCAAGACUGAAACACAAAAGAAUUGACGGGGGGCUGAACAAGCAG
rnacentral:rRNA from 1 species